UACGGGAGGCAGCAGUGGGGAAUAUUGCACAAUGGGCGCAAGCCUGAUGCAGCCAUGCCGCGUGUAUGAAGAAGGCCUUCGGGUUGUAAAGUACUUUCAGCGGGGAGGAAGGCGAUGCGGUUAAUAACCGCGUCGAUUGACGUUACCCGCAGAAGAAGCACCGGCUAACUCCGUGCCAGCAGCCGCGGUAAUACGGAGGGUGCAAGCGUUAAUCGGAAUUACUGGGCGUAAAGCGCACGCAGGCGGUCUGUUAAGUCAGAUGUGAAAUCCCCGGGCUUAACCUGGGAACUGCAUUUUGAAACUGGCAGGCUUGAGUCUUGUAGAGGGGGUAGAAUUCCAGGUGUAGCGGUGAAAUGCGUAGAGAUCUGGAGGAAUACCGGUGGCGAAGGCGGCCCCCUGGGACAAAGACUGACGCUCAGGUGCGAAAGCGUGGGGAGCAAACAGGAUUAGAUACC
rnacentral:rRNA from 1 species